AUGAGGUCUCCCUGAGAACUUGGGGUAAGCAGCCUUGAUCCCUAUAGCCCUGGCCCAGGGAUACCUUGGCAGGGGCCUGACUUACCAUGCCUGAGAGGUAGUCCUGGUUGAACUGCCCCGCAUAGUUGGCUACGUUAUCCAGCCCGAUAGGGGGCAUGCUGGGAGGAGGGUAGCCAGCACCUCCCCAGGGACCACCACCUGAAAGCAACACCAAGCCAUUAUUAGCUCUGUAUCCCUGGCCCACUGACAGAACAGAAAAGAGGGCUGCAGAGGGGCUGCUGUGAUAACCAAGGAAGACCAGCAUCCAGCCAAUGUUAUAAAGACCCAGAAAGAAUGGAACAAGAGGGCCAGGGAAAGCAGAGGAAGAAGGCAGGUCCAGCCCCAGUGGGGAGUCAGGCAUGCUUUGUCCUCUCAAAGCCAGCACCACUGGGUGAGAGGACAGAUCCAUCCUUAGGCUCUGUGCGGAGCUGAGCAUGUGACAGCCAUGGACUCCAGGAAUGCUGAGGAUUCUCAGAUGGAGAGAAAUGAAGCCACGUCAGAGGGCAGGGACACUGUGAAGGACGGUAUCAAGGAGCCCGUUGGGAGACCACAUGGCUGGCUGUGUGUCCUGGGGCAAGGCUCUGAACCACUCAUUCAUGUCUGCAGAAGUGUGACCUCCAGCUGCUGAGAUACAGUCUUCAGUCCCAGUGCUCCAGAGAACCUGAAAAUGCCGCCUCCUAUGGCCGAAGAGUCAGUCCAGAGUGACUGAGAUUACACACUGGGUGAGCGUGGUCUGAAUCUGGAUUACCCAGGACAGAUCAAUCCAACUGCAGGCGCCCUUACAAGUGGAAACUCUUCCCCUCUAUGGAACACCAACAAUGGAAAGCCAACAAUGGCCCCACCUGAAGAGGAAUGGGCCACAAAGACCGGGAUGGCUACCAGCACCAGAGACACCAAGCAAUCAGAUCAUUCCCAGUUAAGGAACAACUCUGUGAGCACCUUAACAUGACAGUCACAAUCAUGAGACUAGACUGUGAGAUCAAACUGCUAGACAAGCCACAAGGCCACAGCGACUGCAGAGAACAGUAAAGGCUCCUAAAAACGAAACUCAACACAGAACUGCCACAGGAUCCCACAAGCAAAAGCAAGACCUCUCUCAGCUAGCCACGUGAUGAACAGAUAAAGAAAAUCAGCUGCUCACUCUGAAAACGGGGGCCAUCCUGAUGCGUGCGAUGGCACGGAUGAAGCCAGCACACUAACUGAAAUAAGGCAGCCACAGAAAGGUAAGUGCUGCCUAAUUCCACUCAGACAGAAAGACAUGGCUGCCUCGGAGGCUGGGGCAAAAGGGAAAUGGGAAGAUUGUUAAAUGGGGACAGUAAGCUUGGGACGAUGAGAAAGUUCUGGAAACAGACUGUGGUGAGGGAUGCAUACAAAGUGAAUGUUCAAUGUCACUGAACUGCACAUCUAAAAUUAGUCAACACGGCAAACCUCAUGGCAUGUAUACUACCACCAAAACAUGUACUAAGUUUGUCUCCAAGAACAGGAAUAGCAGACUAGCCUAUACAGUAGCCACCUCUCCCUUCCUCCAGACCCCUUCCUGGCUGAGGUCUGCCACCAGCCCAUACAGCCUGGCCAGCCUCUUUGACAGGAGAAGCACCAAAGCCCUGACACCACAACAAAUCAUUUCUACAACAAAAGCCAAAGGGCGCUCCCCCUGCCCUGGAGAAGGGGCUCAGAUAAGGCUCGCUCACUUGUGUGAUAGGUCAACACAGUCACCAUGGUCACCGUGAGUCACCACAAUAAGAGCUGGGUUUUCUGUGGUCAGGCAACAAACCCAGCCAGCAAUGGGGAGGGGAACUAAGCACCUGACAUGAUUUAAGCAUGCAGGUAACAGAGCAUUCUGGCCAGCUGGUCAGCCAAAGCUGACCCCUUUUCUCCCCCACCCUUUACAUAUGGAGAAACUGACAACCAGAGAGGAAGUGGCUUGCCACCAUGACACAGCAAGGGGCCAGCCCUGGACCUCUUGCCUCCUUACCAAGUACUAUGAAGCACAGGGUGUGGCACCAGCACAGGUUCCCAGCUCAAUAGGGACCCACUUCCCUUUAUCAAAAGCUCUGAAAGAGUAAGAGUUCUAGGUAGGCCCAAUGCCUCAACCUAAGGUAGGUAAUGUGCAGAAGACCAGCAAGACCAAAGGAUGAUUUUACACAGGGAGAAGUGGUAUAGAGCCCUGCCUGACACCUCCCUCGAGCCACGCCCAAGGACUCAGCACUGUUUGUGUGUAAAUUGACAAUGCAGGAUCCCAGCACACUGAACAAGAUCUCCAGUAAGAACAGGAGAGACCAAGAGAAGACUCAGAGGGUAGAGAGCCAUUGAUGAGACGUAUCAGAGGGAAUACAAGUGAUAUGCUCGGAGACACAGAGGAAAUCUACUCAUAAAGCAAAACAGAAAGGAAAUGCUGUACACAUGGAACACUGAGGAAGCAGUAAAGUCUCUUAGAAAC
ensembl:antisense Anxa11os annexin A11, opposite strand